rnacentral:rRNA from 1 species
CCUACGGGGGGCAGCAGUGGGGAAUAUUGGGCAAUGGGCGAAAGCCUGACGCAGCAACGCCGCAUGAAGGAAGAAGGAUUUCGGGUUGUAAACUUCUUUUCUCAGGGAAGAAGAAAGUGACGGUACCUUAGGAAUAAGCCACGGCUAACGACGGGCCAGCAGCCGCGGUAAUACGUGGGGGGCAAGCGUUAUCCGGAUUUAUUGGGUGUAAGGGGCGUGUAGGCGGGAGCACAAGUCAGAAGUGAAAACCCAGGGCUUAACCCUGGGGCUGCAUUUGAAACUGUGUUUCUUGAGUGCUGGAGAGGUAAUCGGAAUUCCGAGUGUAGCGGUGAAAUGCGUAGAUAUUAGGAGGAACACCAGUGGCGAAGGCGGAUUGCUGGACAGUAACUGACGCUGAGGCGCGAAAGCGUGGGGAGCAAACAGGAUUAGAUACCCCGGUAGUC